rnacentral:lncRNA from 1 species
GAGCAAGAGCAAAGAAAAAUCCCUUUGGUUCUAGAAAAUCUCCUGAAAAAAAGGCUUACCAAGCCCUCAAAGCCACCCAGGCAAAGCAGGCACUUUUGUCAAAGAAAGAGCAGAGGAAAGGAAAAGGGCUCAGGUUUAAGCAACUGGAAUCAUUCCUACAUGAUUCCUGAUGGCAGAAAUGUGACAAAGUGCAUCUCAGACAACUAGAAGUGAAACAUCAUGCCUUGGAAUUGCCAGAUAAACAUUCCUUGGCCUUUGUUGUACACAUCGAAAGAAUUGAUGGCGUGAGUUUACUGGUGCAGAGAACCAUUGUAAGACUUUGCCUAAAGAAAAUUUUUAGUGGUGUCUUUGUAAAAGUCACCCCCCAGAACCUAAAAAUGCUGCGUAUGGUGGAACCUUAUGUGACCUGGGGAUUUCCAAAUCUGAAGUCUGUCCAGGAACUCAUUUUGAAACAUGGACAAGCCAAGGUCAGGAAUAAGGAAUAAGACCAUUCCUCUGACAGACAACACAGUGAUUGAGAAGCACCUGGGGAAGUUUGGUGUCGUUUGCUUGGAAGACCUCAGUCAUGAAAUUGCCGUCCCAGGGAAGCAUUUCCAGGAGGUCUCAUGGUUGUUACGCCCUUUCUACCUCUCAGUGGCCCGUCAUGCUACCAAAAAUACAGUGGGCUUCCUCAAGGAGAUGGGCACACCUGGCUAUCAGGGUGAACGCAUCAGUCAGCUCAUCCGCCAGCUGAACUAG